GAUGAACGCUGGCGGCGUGCUUAACACAUGCAAGUCGAACGAAGCACCUUGACUGAGACCUUCGGGUGGAUUUUGAGGUGACUGAGUGGCGGACGGGUGAGUAACGCGUGGGUAACCUGCCUUACAGAGGGGGAUAACAGUUGGAAACGGCUGCUAAUACCGCAUAAGCGCACAGGGUCGCAUGACCCAGUGUGAAAAACUCAGGUGCUGUAAGAUGGACCCGCGUUGGAUUAGCUAGUUGGCAGGGUAACGGCCUACCAAGGCGACGAUCCAUAGCCGGCCUGAGAGGGUGACCGGCCACAUUGGGACUGAGACACGGCCCAAACUCCUACGGGAGGCAGCAGUGGGGAAUAUUGCACAAUGGGCGAAAGCCUGAUGCAGCAACGCCGCGUGAAGGACGAAGUA
rnacentral:rRNA from 1 species